AUGAAAAGGCCCAAGCUGGGGGAUGCUAUGUCUGAUGAGAGUGACAUGUUUGAGAAUGUAUUUGCUGGAAUUAAUGUUAGUCCCAAGCUUGGGGAAGCUAUGUUUAAUGAAGAUGAUAUUUGUAGUCUCCCAAGUUUUGAUAUGCAAAUUUAUUAUGAUGAUAGCAUGCCUCCUACUUAUGAUGAUUAUAUUGAUGAAAGUGGGUUUGAAAGAGUGUCAACUUUAGGAAGUAAUGAUCCCACUAUUUUGGAGGAUGUUGAAUCUUAUUGUGAUAAUUAUGAAAGUGGAUUUGGAGAGGUCAUGACUUUAUUUAGUAAUGAUUCCACUAUCUUGGAAGAGGUUUCAAUUGAUUAUGAUGAGAACAAAGUUGCUACUUAUGAUGAUUAUUGUGAUGACACGUAUGAUAUAAAAAGUAGUGAUGGUUAUACUUAUAAAACUUUUCAUGAUUAUGAUUACCCUUUUUCUAAAUGUGAAAACAAUUUAUAG
rnacentral:rRNA from 1 species